ACCCUCCCGACGUCCGCCCCACGAGCUGCUGCGCAGCGGUGUGCGAACGCUGACACAGAUGCAUAGUUUUGCUAUCAGAUGACACCUAGGCUAGCAGAUGAAUGAAUGCUAAAGGAUUACGGAAGUCAUGCAGGUGACAGGCUGCUCGGCGUCCAUGGGGCUUGCUACCAAUCCACAUGCAUCAGGAAAGCCAUUUGCUGCAUUAGAACAUGUUGUUAACGUUUCAGAUAUUUAUGUGAUGCAUGAGUAGCUGUGAGAUUCUGAAUGUUCAUGUGAUAGGUUCUAUUGUUGUUGACAGUCUACAGAUUUGUCUUUCUUUCUCUAAUCACUCAUUUUAACGGUUGUCCUGUUUAAAUUGUUGAUUAUUCCUUUGACGAAGGUAUCUGUGACAUGUUCGCUCAAUCUUGAACUUUCAGUGGUUCUGCAUUUAUGACUAAUGUCUUACCAAAUUGUUAUGACCUGUUAGUAUGCUGAUGUUUUGUGCCAUUAUAACUGAAAAUACUCUUUAGUGGCUUCAGGCCAAGGUUAUUGAUUCCAUAGUGGAGAUUAGUUUUUUUGACACUGUCACACUGGCCGUGCAACACACAUUUAACUGAACAAUCAUGACUCUGCCUGAUUUAAUAAUAGUGUACGACAAUUUUUAUAUCCAAUAACUGUUAGGUUCUGCUUAAAAUUUUUCCUGGUUUUGAUGAAGUUAUGUGCGAUCUAAGAGAAGAGUUUACAAUAGUUAGUACUUAGUAGUUACUAAUUAAUUAGCUAAUCAUAUAAACGAUUAAUAAACACACCUUUGCUCUCUACCAGCACAAGUGUUGAGGAUCUUUGUUUAUGAAUUUUUUUGCAGAUUUCAUAUCCCCCUUUCGAAUCACUAGUGGCACUAUAAUAAAAUACUUCUUUGUCAAUCAGGAUGCCUGUUUAUGGAUAUGAAAUCAGCAUCCCUGAUGCAGUCAGUUGGCCCCUCUGUAGGGUGUUGGGAUUGAUUCUGCUGUGGAUGCCCAUGUUUUACCAACAAGCUGGUAGCGAUGAGCUGAUGCAUGACAAUGUGCAGCGAUGCAGGAUCAAGCUCCCAGCAGAGAGGGCAAAGUGUGGCAGCCCCUCCUUUCAGAUCCGUUUCCCUUGCACACUGAAGAUGCUGCCGGGGACGGGAAGACUCGCACGUGACCACGGCGUCAGCGGCGGCGGCGGCGAACAUCGGCUGUCUCGACGGCCGCAGUCGUGGACGUGGAGGAUGCGCCGGAUCGUCGAUGGAUGGGGACGGCGGCGUGGGCUCGGUGGCAGGCGAGUCUCGGUGUGGUCCACAGCUCGUCCUCGACUAGCUUGCUGCGUUGAAGAGCGGCGGCGAGUUCGUCCUUGGUAGCGGCAGCUUCCUAUCCCUUCCCUUUGCCAUGGAUUUCUUCAGAUUAAUGAGAGCUCUGAUUCUUCCCCCAGCGCAAGGAUGUUUCCUGGUCAGAGGUUGGUCCAUACGAAGGCUACCAAUCCAAGUAUGGAGGUCUUUUGGUGCACGUAGAACGUGUUUGAGGUUCUCCUCAGACUAGAACAGAAAGCGCCGCGUGGUGAUGCCGCACCAGUGCUGGCUCAUGGUCUUGCUUCGACCUGUGACUCUUUGAGAGGGCCAAUGCUCUGUAACACAUCAAGGCAGAAGGGAGCAUGAGGCAAAGGCUCAAACAAGUCUCCACGGAUCGGAAGAGGAAUGUUUCUGACAAAGCUGUUGGUGAAUGGUGACUUCGUCGAUGGUCAUCUCUCCCGCGUGCCAAAGAAAUUGCAGUUCUUCCUUAUUCGAGAAAAAUUGCAGUUCUUCCCAAGGUUGAAUGAACAAUGAGCUGUUGUUAUUGGUCUCAAGAAGAUAAGGGCAACAAUGUGCCUCUCUCCACUCGCUGACUAGCCACCUCAGAGAGGGAAGAUGUGCAGGCAAAAUAUCCGGUGGAAACCAGGUACUCGGUGGAAGCGUAGAAACCAAAUUUCAAUCCGUUAAAUACAAAACGUGCGGUCCAGAUGAGCUCCCGACCAGCCCAGCACAUUUUUGACGAACAGCCCCCCGCGCUCCACUCGAAGCGUUUCGCAGGAAACACCCUAUUCUAUGGACUAUAUGCGCAAAAGCCCUGCCGUGUCUUCUUCUCCACACCUCUCCCUGGUUCUGUUCUGUUGGCUUGUUCGCCCCCAAAACUCAAACCAUGUCGAGCUAGGGUUUUACAUGAGGCAACAGCUCCGCAGCAGCUCCAAUCCUCCACUCGAAAUACCCUUCAGUUGAAGAUUGUGGGUCAGCACGGGGACGACGGGUGGCCGGAGGGACUUGGGACAGCAACGGUGGCGACUCCGGCGGCGGCGGCGGCGACUCCGGCGGCGGCUUCAGUGCCACUAAGCUCACGAUUGAUGCCUCCCCAAUAUUGAUUUGCUACCAGGUUUGCUUCACGAGUGGCUUCAUCAUCCUAGACUCAUUGGCAUUGCAACUGCUGCAUUUGAAUAGCCAUAUGGUCAUAUUCUGGAUUCGACCUCAAGUCUGACUGCAAAAUAGUACGGGGAACAAAACAAGGAAUAUAGGUGGACAGGACCACAUAUUGGUGAUGUUAAAUUAUUUUGCAGGCUGCCUCCAAGUCAGGGCAUAAUUCAUGGUUGUCCAGCAUGCAUAUCAGUGCAUUUUUCUUCCAAGUUCUGCCACCAAUGCAGCACAUGGUACUGAUUGAGAUGAUGAAUCUGCCUUGCGUCAGCAUGUAGAUCCCAUAAGCACGACAAAUUUGACACUGGAAUUGAUAUGAUUGGAAGACAUAAGAUUUAUUCAUCAUAGUCUUACACGGCUGCUUAAUUUGGCCUUCUUAUAGUUGUUUAGUGUGUCUGUGGUUGAAAUUGAUGAUUUCUGCAAGUAGUAAAAUUUCAUUUAUGUGAUACAGUCAAAGGUUCAUGUAACUCAUAAAGAUGUGGUUGUCAAUCUGUAAACUUUGUAAUGAUCAAAUGCAAUGCGAUUUAAAAUUUAGCUGAGUAAUUAAUGUGCUUUUCAGAGCCGAUAUAUAUGCCCAUUUAUUGUAAUGGAAUCUUAUUGACAUGUGACAAUAGCAAUACAAUUGAACUGAGAUGAAUUGCUAGUAUAA